rnacentral:rRNA from 1 species
AUGCUGAGAUAUGAUCUGGAAGACCAGCUCUCAACCAUCUACACGGAUGAGGAGGCCUACUGGAGGCUGCGCGGUACCCAACGGUGGGUGCUUCGUGGCGACGCUAACACCGCCUAUUUCCAGGCGGUCGCUAAUGGGCGGCGGCGGCGGAACUCCAUCCAUUGUCUAUGGGAUGGAGAUACGCCUCUCGUUCGCCCUCCGGGCAUCCGUGCCCAUGUGGAUGGUUUCUACAAAGCUCUAUUUACCCCCACCCCUCGGGAUGGGGUUAGCCUCGCUCCCGACAUUUGGUCGGGUAACCAGUUGGUCUCGGUUGAGGCCAAUGCGGCCUUGGUGGCCCCCUUCACCGAAGACGAGGUCUUCGUCGCUAUUAAGGGGAUAAACCCCUCCUUGGCCCCGGGCCCGGAUGGCCUGCCCGUAACAUUUUUCAAAACGUUCUGGCAGACCAUCAAGCCGGAGGUCAUGGCCCUGUUUGAGGAGUCCCACUCGGGGUCCAUGUAUCUUGGGCGUCUUAACUAUGGGAUCGUUACCCUGAUCCCCAAGGUCCCGGGCGCCUCCGACAUCCGCCAGUUCUGCCCCAUCACAGUGAUAAAUGUGAUUUUCUGGAUCCUGGCUAAAGGGUACGCCAAUAGGGUGGCCCUGCUCGCUGACACGAUUACCCAUCCUAACCAAUCGGCUUUCAUUCGAGGCUGA